AUGUGCAUCAAUGCAGAACUGCAUAGGGGUCAAAAAAUGUUCCAAUCAUAUUGAAAGCUACAACACAUUAUGUGUUUGAUCACAAAGAUUACAAAAAGGUAUAGUUUGGACUAUCUGUGACUGAAUGAUCUGGAGUUAUGGGGUAAAAACAGCAA